rnacentral:rRNA from 1 species
AAUCAACGCUGGCGGCGUGCCUAACACAUGCAAGUCGAACGCGAAAGGGGCUUCGGCCCUGAGUAGAGUGGCGUUCGGGUGAGUAACGCGUGGGUAAUCUGCCUUCGGGUGGGGAAUAACCAGUCGAAAGAUUGGCUAAUACCGCAUAAAGCAACUGUUUCUAUGAAGUGGUUGUUAAAGGAGCAAUCCGCUUGAAGAGGAGCCUGCGUCUGAUUAGCUAGUUGGCGGGGUAACGGCCCACCAAGGCUACGAUCAGUAGCUGGUCUGAGAGGACGGCCA